rnacentral:misc_RNA from 1 species
UACUAUCUGUGAUCUAUGACAGAUAGGUUUGACAGUGUCAAACGAUUUUUUUGUGUAUUUUUUUUGAAAAAGUCGCCUUUGGCUCUUUUUAAUCAUUUUCUCUGUGGUUAUUUCUAGCGAGAGUGCCUAUGUUCUUUUGUGUGCUCGGUGUCUUUUGUGGGUGAGUUUCCAAUCUGGCGUCUGUCCGCAGGUUCCAAGCUAGCAUUGUUUAUUUUGUUGUUUUUCCACACAAACAAACAAAAAUAAACCUACCUUCAAGCCUUACCAGUGCUUAUAAACAUACCCGUGUUGGUGCAUUCGUUUCAUUUGGUAAAUGCCUUUUAGGAGCGUUCUCCAAACCAUUUCCAGGCAUAAUGGAAAGUCAAGGUUUUGAGGGAGACGAUUUUUUCCCUUCCCUCGAACCCAUGGUCAUAAUCAACAGUCAGGAUGAUGAGGAUGACGACCACUUUGCAGUGCGUCAAAGGACGGGAUGCCUUUAAAGCCCCAUGAAAUGCAAAUUAGUCGCUUGAAUAACCCCCUGCUUGCUUGUAGAGCCAACAGGCUUUUUGCUUGUAUGCGUGGAAUCAGUAAGCAGCUAAAUCCAGCGAGGCGCGCACAUUUUUCUUCAAGAGUUUCCCUCUCAUUAAUACAUUUAGCUAGCAGAAGACACAGAUUCGAUCCAAUAUAAAUCCAUACUAAACCCAGCAAGCAGAUAUAGAUCUAAGCAUGAUAACUUCGGGGCUGAUGGAACCAGGGACUCCUGGAGUUGCUUGGCGAAACCCCCCAACGAUGACUCCACCCCUAGACUGGAACCAGAGAUUUCAAUUUUUCCCGUAAACAGAAAACAGCCGUCGACUUUCAAGAUCAAACUAUUUGGAAAUGGCUUUAAAAAUCACUCUGCAACUAGUAAAAAAUCUAACAAAACCACCGAGUCUAAGAACACAGGUAGCAGAGCGCCGGUGAGAUUAGUGUCGAAAGACGAAGCUAUGAAGGCAGCAGAGCCCUAUACAAAGCGCAAAAGUAGCCCCCUAGCGAAAUGCCCCCUUUGCAAGAAGUUCUUCAAGCGGAUGAAGACGCACCUGAUGAAGCACCAAGUGCUAGAGAACCAAGAACAGUGCUCGACUUUGAUAUGCGAGAUUUGCAAAAAGGCCUUCAAUAAUCACAGUAAUUUGCAAAUUCAUAUGAGAACGCACACUGGCGACAAACCCUAUGUGUGCGUGGUGUGCAAUAAAUCCUUUUCGCAAAGCUGCAAUCUGGUUAACCAUGUCAGGAUUCAUACAGGCGAGAAGCCAUUUGCGUGCCCGUAUUGCGACAAGGCUUUUACCCAGUCGGGCAACUUGAACAAUCACAUUCGGCUUCACACCGACGAGAAGCCCUUUCGCUGCCAUUUCUGCGAAAAGGCCUUUACGCAGAGCGGCAAUCUCAACUCGCAUAUCAGGAAUAAUCAUAAAUAUAAAAACUCCAACGCGCUUUUAGCCAAUUUCCAUCAAGCAAACGAGAAAAGCGAAAUUGCCGGUAUUUAUGCCGGGCUACAAGACAAUGUAAAUAUGUAAAAUAUAUAAUUAUUGCCCUGAUCGACUGAAUAGUUGAACAUAUUUGCGAUGCAAACGGCUCACUAGCUUGCCAGGCGAACAGUACUUUUUGCGCAAAUGUAGGUAGACUAAGACCCCAGUCGCCCUUAUGUAACAAGACUUUCAAUGCCAUGUAUAAAGAUCUCAUUUUAUUUAUAUUAUACUCCCUUUUAAGUAUUAUAAAUGAUGUUGUUUAUUACAGAUUAAGUGCUGGGUGCCGUUGCAAAUUAAUACGUUCCCUAAUUUAAAAAAAUUAACAUGCAUUCUGGAGACUGAGCCCGCACUGACUUCUGUUACUAAGAUUUAAUUUGCAACGAAGCAGGUACUUUUAUUUUUACUACUGUAUGUGAUUUUUGCAAUUGCAAUAGUGCCCCUUUUACGGUACUGGCUAAGACUGUUAUUUUUUCUGUUGUUGUUUUUCUUUUCGUGCACUCGUUUUAUGUAUUUGUGAUUUUCCUUCUAUGAACACUAAACAGCUCCACAGACAACUUUGCCCUCACUUUGGAACCGGAUCAGUUCUGAUUGUUUUGAGCAAUUUGGUUCCUGUUUAAAGCGUUAUUUAGCAUCAUUUCAGUUCUGUUAGUCCAUGUUUUCUAUAGGGCGACAAGAAAAUGCAAAAUCGGUGAAAGUUCGGUAUGCUCCUAGUUGGAAACAUCGGUUUUUUUUUCUUGGUCCGAGUUUCACGAUUUGUGGGUUUAAAGCUCAUGUUGAAGCUUAAACUUCAUGGGCGAUUUGAGACAAAAUUGAAUUUGUCUGUCCAGUCGCCUCUGAAUUCUUAGCUUCAAAAAGAGCUCUAGCUUUUAAAAAUCCGCUUAAGAGAAAAAAUUAUGACUGCAAGACCAAAAACUUGAUUUUUUAGGACCACUCUGUAAAUAAACCAGAUGAGCAGAAAAUCCAGUCUAUCUGGAGGCUUGUGAUGUUGAUGAAAUACAAAAAACAGUUUUUUUGUCCAACUGAGAACACGCGAAACUUUCACCAGUUUUGCAUUGGUUCGCCCUGUACAAACUUUAUCUGGCGCGCUAAUUUGAAAAAGAAUUGCACUAAAGAACGUUUCAAACAGAAGAAUUUAUCGAGUUCCAAAGUUAUGUGGAGCAGUUUCGUUAGCUGUUUCCACUACUUUGGAAUUGAAAAUUUAAUCAAGGUGAAGAAUGUUCCUUAAAAACCUUAUUAUUCUAUAAGAUAUACAUUACUCAGAUUUGUGUGUGUAUGACCGCUAUUUAAUUCCAUAUUGUAGUUUUUUAAGCAAGCAGGCAAAUAUAUGAGAUUGGUUUGA